rnacentral:lncRNA from 1 species
GGGGUGGGGAAGGGGGGGAGAGAAUGAAUUUUUAAAUAUGAAAAGCCUCAGUUUUAGAGAACAACAUUUUUCGUUAGGCAUCAUGAAUUUCCCAAAUAGGUCUCACUAUAGCAUCAGGUUGUCAGCGCCAGCAGGUGUUAACCCAUCCACCUGAGUAUGGUUCUCACAGUUUGUGUUUUCUCUUUGGAGGAAAUCCAGUUGGGACAUUGAAGAGUUUGAUGACAAUUAUAACUAAGAAGAUGGGUGGAGAAAGUGGGGAGUGACUGUUUGGCUCAGACACAGAAGUUCUGUCCAGUGAAAUACACAUAUUAUGAGAAACAUACCAUCUAUUCAAUCCCAUAUUUUUAAGAAAAAUUUCCAAAAACUGCUGGAGAACUAUCUUUCAUCCAGUUUCUUUAGAGCUUCAGUCGCCAAUGCAAACAACCAGUUUUCAAGAAGGAUGUGACAAUACAGCACAUGGACUGUAAAACAACCCAGAAAAUAGACAUAUUGAAAGAACUCCAAUUUUUAAAUAUGUCUCAGAAUUCCAGCAUAAAUCUUCCUGGAAAAAUAGCAGUGCACUUCCCAUGACAGUAGGAGAGAGAUGUCACUUCAUUUUAAUUUGCAUUCCUGUGGUCAUCACUUCUAAUAAUUGCAGUGACAACCUUGGAAAGCCUUAAAUUCUGGGAGUUUUUCAUCUCCAAAGUUCUUUAACUCUCUGAAGGUUGAUGUCUUCUUGGUAACCCUGUAGGCUGGAGGCUGGUCAUGUCAUGUAGGAGCUAUAAAGAAUAUCCUUCUGCUGGUUGAUCUACAGAGCCCAAAUGUGGUGCAUAAUGCUCAAGAAGUCUCAAACCCUUUGUGAAAGAAUCAGAUGAUAACCUCUACUUUACAUCCACCAUUCAAUCAUUAAAACAACAUAUGCUGUAGUUAACAGGAAUGUUGUUGCUAUUUGAAAAUCACCUCAGUAAUGUCAGUAAAGUACUAAAUAAUAGAAUCACAGAAUGGUGUGGGUUGGAAGAGAAUUUAAAGACCACCUAAUUCCAAUCUCUCCUGGGGCACGGACACCUCCCACUGGUUGCCCAAAGCCCCAUACAGUCUCUCCUUAAACACUUCUAGCAAUGGGGCAUCCAUAAUGCCUCUGGGCAACCUGUUCCAGUGCCUCACAACCCUCAUAGUAAAGAUUAUUUUCCUAAUGUCUAAUCUGAAUCUGCUUUCUUUUAGUGUAAAUCCACUAUCCCUUUCCUAUUGCUAUACUCCCUGGUAAAAGAGUCUCUCCCCAUAAGGAGUAGCUCACUGGAGUCAUGGUAUUUCUCCCAUUUGUACUGGGAAUAGAAAGUGGAUUGCUUUCAUGUCCAGAUGCUACUGAUCACUAUCAGAAAAAUACCAUCACUAUUACACUAAUUGCUAGUCUCAUCAAAAGGGUUACAGCUGAAUAGUGAAUGAAAUUGUUUCUGGUGGUUUGCAUG